UGAGUAUCGCUAACGGCCCCCCUCCUGCCGCCUUUGACAUACGGUUGAUUAACCUUUGACCCUCUUCUGCAGUUAACUAUUUUCGGGCAUUUAUCGCAAGCACUGUGUUGGCAAAUGGAGAUGAUUUCGACGGGAUUACCCCUGACUGGAUGUGUAUUGAGGAUCGCUGCGCUUUGCAACCCUCGGUAUCCCAGCCAUUUCUUCCUCUCGAUCAAGGAGCACAGAUAAUGAUAACUGUCAAGUCUGAUUGAAAGCCAUGUCUGUUAUC